UGGGGGAAUAUUGCACAAUGGGGGAAACCCUGAUGCAGCAACGCCGCGUGAAGGAAGACGGUUUUCGGAUUGUAAACUUCUUUUCUUAGUGAAGAAACAAAUGACGGUAGCUAAGGAAUAAGCAUCGGCUAACUACGUGCCAGCAGCCGCGGUAAUACGUAGGAUGCGAGCGUUAUCCGGAAUUACUGGGUGUAAAGGGAGCGCAGGCGGGACUGCAAGUUGGAUGUGAAAUGCCGCAGCUUAACUGCGGAGCUGCAUCCAAAACUGUAGUUCUUGAGUGGAGUAGAGGCAAGCGGAAUUCCGAGUGUAGCGGUGAAAUGCGUAGAUAUUCGGAGGAACACCAGUGGCGAAGGCGGCUUGCUGGGCUCUAACUGACGCUGAGGCUCGAAAGUGUGGGGAGCAAACAGGAUUAGAUACCC
rnacentral:rRNA from 1 species